UACGUAGGGGGCAAGCGUUGUCCGGAUUUAUUGGGCGUAAAGAGCGUGUAGGCGGCUUUACAGGUCCGUUGUGAAAACUCGAGGCUCAACCUCGAGACGCCGGUGGAAACCGUAAAGCUAGAGUCCGGAAGAGGAGAGUGGAAUUCCCGGUGUAGCGGUGAAAUGCGCAGAUAUCGGGAGGAACACCUAUGGCGAAGGCAGCUCGCUGGGACGUUACUGACGCUGAGACGCGAAAGCGUGGGGAGCAAACAGG
rnacentral:rRNA from 1 species